AUUGAACGCUGGCGGCAUGCCUUACACAUGCAAGUCGAACGGUAGAGGGGCAACCCUCGAGAGUGGCGAACGGGUGAGUAAUGCAUCGGAACGUGCCCAGUAGUGGGGGAUAGCCCGGCGAAAGCCGGAUUAAUACCGCAUACGACCUGAGGGUGAAAGCGGGGGAUCGCAAGACCUCGCGCUAUUGGAGCGGCCGAUGUCAGAUUAGGUAGUUGGUGGGGUAAAGGCCUACCAAGCCGACGAUCUGUAGCUGGUCUGAGAGGACGACCAGCCACACUGGGACUGAGACACGGCCCAGACUCCUACGGGAGGCAGCAGUGGGGAAUUUUGGACAAUGGACGAAAGUCUGAUCCAGCCAUGCCGCGUGCAGGAAGAAGGCCUUCGGGUUGUAAACUGCUUUUGUCAGGGAAGAAAUCUUCUGGGCUAAUAUCCCGGGAGGAUGACGGUACCUGAAGAAUAAGCACCGGCUAACUACGUGCCAGCCGCCGCAGUAAUAC
rnacentral:rRNA from 1 species